GGCGCCUUGCGCGCACCGGCGGACGGCUCAGUAACACGUCGGUAACCUACCCUCGGGAGGGGGAUAACCCCGGGAAACUGGGGCUAAUCCCCCAUAGGCCUGAGGUACUGGAAGGUCCUCAGGCCGAAAGGGGCUUCUGCCCGCCCGAGGAUGGGCCGGCGGCCGAUUAGGUAGUUGGUGGGGUAACGGCCCACCAAGCCGAAGAUCGGUACGGGCCAUGAGAGUGGGAGCCCGGAGAUGGACACUGAGACACGGGUCCAGGCCCUACGGGGCGCAGCAGGCGCGAAACCUCCGCAAUGCGGGAAACCGCGACGGGGGGACCCCCAGUGCCGUGGCAUCGCCACGGCUUUUCCGGAGUGUAAAAAGCUCCGGGAAUAAGGGCUGGGCAAGGCCGGUGGCAGCCGCCGCGGUAAUACCGGCGGCCCGAGUGGUGGCCGC
rnacentral:rRNA from 1 species